CCUACGGGAGGCAGCAGUGGGGAAUAUUGCACAAUGGGCGGAAGCCUGAUGCAGCGACGCCGCGUGAGGGAUGAAGGCCUUCGGGCUGUAAACCUCUUUCAGCAGGGACGAAGCGUGAGUGACGGUACCUGCAGAAGAAGCACCGGCUAACUACGUGCCAGCAGCCGCGGUAAUACGUAGGGUGCGAGCGUUGUCCGGAAUUACUGGGCGUAAAGAGUUCGUAGGCGGUUUGUCGCGUCGUUUGUGAAAACCCGGGGCUCAACUUCGGGCUUGCAGGCGAUACGGGCAGACUUGAGUGUUUCAGGGGAGACUGGAAUUCCUGGUGUAGCGGUGAAAUGCGCAGAUAUCAGGAGGAACACCGGUGGCGAAGGCGGGUCUCUGGGAAACAACUGACGCUGAGGAACGAAAGCGUGGGUAGCAAACAGGAUUAGAUACCCUGGUAGUCCACGCCGUAAACGGUGGGCGCUAGGUGUGGGUUCCUUCCACGGGAUCUGUGCCGUAGCUAACGCAUUAAGCGCCCCGCCUGGGGGUAGGUACGGCCGCGACGGACGUAAACCGUUAAACGGUAAAGUUAGUACGGCGUGAGACGUGCCGACGGACGACGACGACGGGAGGUAGG
rnacentral:rRNA from 1 species